AUCUCUCAUUGCUUCAGUUUCCACACUUGUCUCGUUCCCGGUCCGUAAUGAUAAACUAUUAUCUCUAAGAUCUUUCGUCUCCUUGAAACCUUGCGGAGAAAUGCAAACAUGAUUAGUGGCUUCCGAAUCAAUGACCUAGUGGUAUAUUGAGUCUUCCACUAAACAAGAUUUUGUCAUCAAGAGUUUCAUACAUUUGCCUUUGGUAGCUAGGUAUUCUUUCCAUUCUUUACAAUUUUACUUGAAGUGCCCUUUCUUGUUGCAAAAGAAGCAUUUCGACUAAGAUAAGUCUUUUUGCUUUCAAG
rnacentral:lncRNA from 1 species